rnacentral:ribozyme from 1 species
AAUCCAGCAGAAUGCACUACAAACAUAAAAGGAAAAGCAAAAAAAAAAGCAAAAAAAAACAUAAAAAAGAGAAACAUCAUUCGUACCUUCUUUACUUUUCCUCUCUCUGUUUUCUCUUCUUUCUCGCAUUUUUU